GACGAACGCUGGCGGCGUGCUUAACACAUGCAAGUCGAACGGUGAAGGGACUGGUUUUGCUGGUCCUGGAUGAGUGGCGAACGGGUGAGUAACACGUGAGUAACCUGCCCCCUUCUUCUGGAUAACCGCAUGAAAGUGUGGCUAAUACGGGAUAUUCUGGGUCUGUCGCAUGGUGGGCCUGGGAAAGAUUGCGCCUUUUUUGGUGUUUUUGGUGGGGGAUGGGCUCGCGGCCUAUCAGCUUGUUGGUGGGGUGAUGGCCUACCAAGGCGGUGACGGGUAGCCGGCCUGAGAGGGUGGACGGUCACACUGGGACUGAGACACGGCCCAGACUCCUACGGGAGGCAGCAGUGGGGAAUAUUGCACAAUGGGCGCAAGCCUGAUGCAGCGACGCCGCGUGAGGGAUGGAGGCCUUCGGGUCGUGAACCUCUUUCGCCAGUGAAGCAGGCCUGCCUCUUUUUGUGGGUGGGUUGACGGUAGCUGGAUAAGAAGCGCCGGCUAACUACGUG
rnacentral:rRNA from 1 species